AAGUGGACUAGGUCGGGCAGUUAGGCCCUGCUCGUACUUCCCGCACUACGGUCUUGAGCGGGGACCGAACCCGGGGGCGUCCGGUCAGACCGGUUCGGGCCUCGGGAGCCAACGUGGAAGCCUCGUCCUUCGGGGACAGCGGUCCGCGGCGUGCGUCCGCAGGGGCGCUCCGUCGCGGUUCGUCGGUGGCAUUGGGUCAGGCGCGGAAGCGAGCAGCCCACCGCCGGACGCCAGUCGCUCGACGGAUCGCGGGGUGGAGGAGGCGACCGGGACUCCCCGGAGCGGAACGCCGGGCAAUCCCGUUGUCCGCAU
rnacentral:SRP_RNA from 1 species